ACUCCUACGGGAGGCAGCAGUAGGGAAUAUUGGUCAAUGGAGGAAACUCUGAUGCAGCAGCGCCGCGUGGAGGAUGACGCAUUUCGGUGUGUAAACUCCUUUUAUAUGGGAAGAUAAUGACGGUACCAUAUGAAUAAGCACCGGCUAACUCCGUGCCAGCAGCCGCGGUAAUA
rnacentral:rRNA from 1 species